UAUUUUGUGCUGGUUAGUAAUGCCAUCUAAGAACUGAAUUAGAUGGUUGUAGGUUCCAGGUUAUUAGUGCCUGCUCAGAAAAUAUUUUCUUAUAUUUUGCUCAUAUUUUUCUCCACAGUUCUGUACAGUUUCCCGGAGUAUUUCUGAGGCUUGAUGAGUGUUGUUUGUACUUCAUCAUAUGUACCAUGCACAAACAACUGUAUGCGUGGUCAGCCCCAGCUCUGUAAUCUAAAACAUCCAUUCGGAUGCUGAACACAUAGUAGCUUAAGAUAAAGACUUCUUCAGAGUUACCAAUGGACAGAAAAUCCGAAGGGAAAAUAGAUGUUGCAAGAAAAACUUUUAAUUGUUCCAAGGAUGAAUAUUGACCUUUCCCUUACAUGAAUGCAUGAAUGUUCAACAAAUUUGGACUGUGGUGAACUAUGGUUCUGCUAUAUCAUACACAGAGCAAGUCUUCACAGAAAGAAAUCUGAACAGUUAGUGUUGUAUAGAGGACAACUAACAGAUUAUGGGACAACAAAGCAGCUAGAAAUUCACAAAGAAGCCAUGAGAUACUGUCUCAAGACACAUAUCUCUAUUAAUGGAGCUUCUGUGCCCUGUCUGAUUCUGUCGUUCAACAGUGAUGACUUGUAUGCUGGACUCAAAAUCUCAUUUGUGUGAGGGACUGCUGAUUCUGGCUCUGUUUCUAUAUAUAUACAUGUAUGUUUGGCUUUUUUUUUUUUUUUUUUUUUUUCCAGUUACAAUAACCUAUAUUACAUAAACUGUGCAGCUACUGUUCCAACAUUGGCAGCUGUGGCUCAUCUCUCUGAUUUGUAUUGUUAUUUUGUUUGCUGACAAGAUUGUGCUACACACUUGUGAUGUGUAUUGCUGUUAAGAUGUAAAAAUUAAUGUAGUGUCAGCAGUGCCAAUUUUGAUGCUGCAUUGUGGAGUAUUUUCUCCUUGAGUUCAUAGUUGAGGCCUGCCUCUAUGGCAGGAAUGCAAGUGAUGUUUGUGGUGUUUAUAUUGCCAUGCCUUUUUUAAAAAUUUUAUUUAUUUAUUAUUAUUAAUUUGCCAUCUAUUUGGUGUUUUGACAAAGAGGUUUUGGUUUGUCUCAGGUGUCAGUAGCUUACCAGGGAUCAUUUAGUGAAAAAUUGUCCAUGACUUUGAUAUACAAAGAUACUGUGAAUGCCAUGAAUUAAAGCAAAGGACUUAAGUAAGAAUGUGUUUUAAAACUUUCAAAGUAUUUCCAAACUCAGUAUUGUCAAUAUAUAAAGAAGUUCCACUGAAAGCCUCAGUAUUCAGUAUGCUACCUACUAUGCAAAUAACUUCAGUCUCAGAUCCCCUUUUAUUUCAAAUGUUUUCUCAAGCCUGCUUGUAAUGUUCCAUCUGUUGAUUUGUUACCAAAGGUUACUGAAGAUACAAAAAAAGUUAAAUAUGGUAAAAAAAAGCAAGCUGCUAACUGACUGGUCUGAGGGAUUGGAAGAGGGAUAGAUUUCAUUGUAGUAUCAUUGCCUAAAAAUAUAAGCCCGUAGAGUGUGAGUUGCAAAAUAAAUAAGUAAAUAAAUAAAAUUAAAAAAUAGAAAGGAAAAAUAUAUGUGGUUUGCAUUACAGUGUUUACAAGCCAAGUGUUUACUGAGAGUUUCCCUGAUAGGUCUUAUGAGGUCAUGAUCCCAUACUUGCCAAAGUCAACAGAAAUAGUGUAGGCAUUGCUAUAUCCCAUUUUUCACAUUUAUUCAGUACACUGGAUUCUGAUACUUCUAUUUCUGUGGUUGUUUUGUUCUUUCACUCUUUCAUUCAAUAUUUUCAUUAAUUAAUCUUACAUUCUUGGUUCUAUAAUUUAAUUUUGGGUCCACACUUUGAGAUGAACUAUUUACCUUCUUAAAGCUCUUGUUUGCUGCCUGUAAUCUGUUUGUUCAUGCUUACGGGUAUACUUGCAAAAACAGGUGAUGGGUCUUUUUACAGCCAGUGGAUACAUUUCAUUUCAGAGUAAUUUUUCACUGCUCCAUAAAAGCCAGUGUUCACUCAAAAUUACCUGUUAAAGCUCCUGUAGUCGGGCAGUUCUGGCUUUGCUUCAGGUUUAAAAAGUUUAGGAUAUAAAGCCUCUAGCAGCUCUGGAUCAUCCCUAAUGGCUUCUAUCCAAGGAGACUGAUAAUACUUUGGCACAGAAGUAGUGUUGAACUUUUCAGGAGGAAUUUCUUUUAGUGGUCCAGAAUAUCCUGCAAGGAGAUCCAGGUAAACCAGUAUAACAGUAUAUUGAUUUUUCUGUUUCCUUACCAUCAUCCUAUGUAAAUAGGAAGUAAUAUACCAUUAUUUCACAGUUAGUUAAAGUGAACAAUUGAAUCAAGUGAGUUAACCAAAGCAACACAAUACCAGAAAGCUCACAGGAGGUAUUUGUAGCCUUUUAGAUAACUGGUCUGAAGUAUUCUACUCUUCUUUUGAGGGUAAGUUUAUUUUAGUUUUAUUUAAGUUUGUUUCUAUCAUUAUAAGCAUCUGUUUGAAAAAGGAGCACAUCUACACAGACCUUGGGCUGAAUUAACAAUUAAAUGUUAAAAACAGCCUUUUGGUUAAAAGUAAGAUAACUCUAUAGUUUUUGGAUGAGAUUUCCCAAAAGCAUUAAAAGGAGUUAAGGUCCCAGCCAUUCUAUCAGAUUUUUUGCCUCCAUUUGAUGCUUUAAAAUGUCAUACUUACAUGGCUCUUUGAUCAUUUUCAUCUUUUUGUUUGUUUGUUUGUUUGUUUUCUUUUCUUUUUGCUUUUAUUUUCCCCUCUCUAUAAUCAUCUGAGGAUCAGGCUCUGAUCAGAAUUUUACUAAACAAGUGAAUUCCUUAUUCAGUGUUAUUUCUUCUAAAGCCAAAUACGAUAUGGCACAAAUAAACAUAAGGGGAAAAAAGCCCAGACCUUACUGUGCAAUUUGAAGAAUUAGAAUCAGCUGAAGAAUUAGAACCAGCAAGGGAUUAUUCUAAUAUAUGAGUUUAUAGUAUUUAUUUGAAAAACAAGGGAAAUCUGUUUUCCUGUUUACCCUCACAUGACAUCUAGCUCUUUAAAUUAAUGCUGUUGCCUUUUGUAAGCUUAAAAAAAAAAAAAAAAAAAAAAAAGCACCCUGUGGUUUAAUAAAUACUCCUUUCACCAAAAAUAAAUAUUUCUUGCCUAAAGAAAACUUUAAGAUUUGUAUCAUGUUUUAGCAAUGGAAAUUACCUCAAUUUGCAUUGUAUUUGGCCCAUGGAUGCAGAGAGCCUUAGCUGUCACUAACAGAGUAGCAUUGACCUAGUUUACAUAGACUGGAAAAGGUCUGCACAAAACAUGCAUUGAGUAAUUCUGAACAAAGAAUGAAUUUGUAAAAACCACAGUCUGCUCAUGGAUAAUUCAUAAACAGGAAGAAGGGCUAUAUCACUGAAUAAAUUAAUUAAAACAAAUUAGCCUUCUCUAGUCUUCAAAGAAUACAAAAUAAGGCCUUCCUGUAGCUCACUGCUUUAAAUAAAGACAACAGUACCCUCACAGUUAAGGACUUAAAUAAAGCAGAACAGUGUAUACAGCCAGGGGCAAAUUCCUCUUUAAGUUACUUAUCUGUAAAGGGUUCCAGCAAAACUUGCAAUGACUUCAGAUGUCCAUUUACAGGUAAUUAAACUACAAUGGAUAACUUUCAGACUGUUAAGCAGUGUGUUGUAUCUUAGAAACUAGGGCAUUGAAAAGUCAGUAUAUUAAUCUGGUUUUAAAUCUGAAGAUCUGUUUCUCAAUGUUUAUAAGAUCAAUAAAUAUAUGAGCAGUCUCACUGGAAAAUAAUGCAUGCCUUCAGUUGAGGGAAAGGUAGUACAAUGGACAUAUCAAAUUGUUAAGAAC